AUUAAUUAAUAUUAUUAAUAAUUUGAAUAUCAAUUUAAUAUUGUGAUAUUAUUCUGGUUCAAAAAGUUACGUUUAAGAUCAAAAUUAGUAGCACAAAGUUCAAAGAAUUAGAAAAUGUAUAUAAAAUCAUAUAAGAAAUAUUAUUGAACACUAAAUCUCUGCUAUGACUUUAUUGACCUAUCUCUUCUUCUCUCUAUUUUUCUCUUUCUUUUUUCUUGAAUUCAGUUGUAAUAGCGCAACAAAGUUCUCGCUGUUUUUUUUUGAUGAAAAUGCAAUUUCAUUGUGAAAAAAUGGUUACAAAUGAAUUAUUCAAAGUAUUGCCCAUCGCUAGCGACAACUUUUUCCCAUCUUUCUGGCAGAGCUCAAAUACCGUGACGGUAGAAGUGUUAGUCUUUUGAGGCUAUUCACGAAUCAAGCCAUUUUGAGAUGUUUUCAUAUGAGCGGAACUGCUGAUCAGCCAGACCAUGUGCCAUCGAACGGAACAAGUAAUAAUCGGACGGCGCAAUAUCUGGGGAAUAUAGCGGGUGGAGUAGGACUUCCCAUUUGAGCGUUUCCAACUCAUAAUAAAUAACAUCGCCCUGUUCCCAUCAAAAACGCGAACGGUCGUCAACAUCGAAAUAACCGUCUUUGAAGCGAUGGAACCAAUCACGGCACAUUGUUUCACUUGGAGUAGCAUCUCCGUAAACUUUUUGGAGUUCUCGAUGCGCUUCAGCCGCCGUUUUCUUCGAAUGAAAGAAGAAAAGCAACACUUCCCGCAAAUGACGAUUAUUUGGCACAAAAUCAGACAUUUUCACACAACCAAAAGUAUAUGAUGCAAAAACAAAAUCACUAAUGUGUCAAAGCGGUUUGUUUACCAUAUGUCUAAGCUUAGUUUAUGACGUUUUGGAUAUGUCACAAUCGAUCAGCGUUUAUUGCUGGAGUCAUCUUUUGAAAAACAGCGAGAAUUUAGUUGCGCACCUAAUACAUGACAGUUUUAUGUCAAUUAUGAGUUUAAUUAAUUUUAUCCAAGCAUGUAUUAAAAAUGUAUUUAAAAAGCAUGUAGAUUAAAAAAAAUUGUAUAACUAUAACUUUAAAUACACACACAUACACACACAAUAUUAAAAACUGUAUUAAAUUAAAAUUAAAAUCCAAAAUGCAAAGUAUUGCAAAUUAAAAAUUUUCUAAUUGUAUAUUAGACGAGUAUUUGAUUGAAGGAAAACUUUUAAAGUUGUCCUGGUAUUUGUCUUGGUAACUUGUUUUUCUAAUCAUUUCUCCUAUAAUGUUGCGGUAUAUUGUUUCUGAGUACCGGUACUAGGAUAACCGUUCGAUAUUUUUAAUAUUUGUUUACAGUUUUUUAAAGCCUAAAAUGAGCAGAAAAUUCUGAUAUAAUUGAUUUUUUGUUUGUUUUAUUUAUUAGUGGGGGCGUCACGUGAAGCUAGCACUCUCACUUUUGAUUUUAAUUUCUUGUAACCGGGUAGGAGUAACAAAUUCGGGACUACGGCAGAAAAUUAGGAGAUAAUUAGCAGAAAAUUAUACGGUAGAUCCGAAUUUUCUUUAGUGGUGGGUUGCUAGAUUCACUGACGUUAAUUACUCAUGUGAUCAUCAAGAUUAUAUGCGAGUCGAAUAAUUAUCACGAUUCGUCGUGUUUACUCAUUCACUACAUUGUACAUUAUCUAAGGUGUUUUUAUACCGAUCUGGCUUUUCCGUUCGAGCAAUAAAGGAACUUUCCCUUGGCUCGAAUA